rnacentral:rRNA from 1 species
AUUGAACGCUGGCGGCAGGCCUAACACAUGCAAGUCGAACGAGUGGCGGACGGGUGAGUAAUGUCUGGGAAACUGCCCGAUGGAGGGGGAUAACUACUGGAAACGGUAGCUAAUACCGCAUACCAUCGGAUGUGCCCAGAUGGGAUUAGCUAGUAGGUGGGGUAAUGGCUCACCUAGGCGACGAUCCCUAGCUGGUCUGAGAGGAUGACCAGCCACACUGGAACUGAGACACGGUCCAGACUCCUACGGGAGGCAGCAGUGGGGAAUAUUGCACAAUGGGCGCAAGCCUGAUGCAGCCAUGCCGCGUGUAUGAAGAAGGCCUUCGGGUUGUAAAGUACUUUCAGCGGGGAGGCGUUACUCGCAGAAGAAGCACCGGCUAACUCCGUGCCAGCCGCCGCGGUAAUUC